rnacentral:lncRNA from 1 species
UAAGUUUAAGAAUUUGAUAAUAAAAGGAGUAAAAAGUUUAAAAGUAUAUUUUUGAACAAUUUAAAGAAGAGUAACAAGUAAAAGGGAAAGGGGGUCCUAGGUUUGCAAAUAAUAUGGAUCACAUCAAUGCAAUACCCGGUGUACACUCCUCAAAAGAGGGGUCGCACGUGAUAUUAGCGCAUCGGUCAUCAUAUCCAUAUUCUACCCUUCUCACCCCGUUUUGGCAUUAAAGCGCGGAAAGUCUCGUUACUUAUUGCAUGCUAGUACCCGUGUAAAUCC